UACGUAGGGUGCGAGCGUUGUCCGGAAUUAUUGGGCGUAAAGAGCUCGUAGGCGGCUUGUCGCGUCGGAUGUGAAAGCCCGGGGCUUAACUCCGGGUCUGCAUUCGAUACGGGCAGGCUAGAGUGUGGUAGGGGAGAUCGGAAUUCCUGGUGUAGCGGUGAAAUGAGCAGAUAUCAGGAGGAACACCGGUGGCGAAGGCGGAUCUCUGGGCCAUUACUGACGCUGAGGAGCGAAAGCGUGGGGAGCGAACAGG
rnacentral:rRNA from 1 species